AAGAAUAAUAUUUAUUAACUUUUAAAAAUCUUCACUAGUUCUACAGCACUAAGAAACACAUAGUAGACUCAUUUUUUACGGUGAAAAAAAUAAAUAAAUAUAAUAAAAGAGUAUAGACAACGACACAAUGAAAAGCAGAGAGGCAAAUGUUUUCACUUUGGAUCUUAUGCGGGUAUCUCAAAAUUUAGGUCUGAAAUUGUAUGGGUGGUAUGACAUCCUAAACUGAGUACUCCAAAAUAUCGAACUAACGGUGAAAAAUGUAUAUUUAACUUUGUUUUAACAUUAACAACUUACACCUUAUACCAAGAAUUUAAGCUUAUAGCUACUGUCCAAAUGACAAUUCCCAAACUGACAGAUAAUAUUUGCAAAUAUCUUCUGAAUAAUUCAGUGCUGUCUUCUAAAAUUCUACUCUGCAUACAGCUGAUGGCCAUAACAUUUGUUAGCUCUAUGUGGAUUGAAUAACCUGUUUCUCUCAAAACUGAUAUCCACAGCAACAUUUUUUUUUCAACUGGAAUGAUACUUGUUCCAAAACUUCUGAAUAUUUUUUCAGCCCUGUGAGCACCGUACUCUCUCACAUGCAUUAAAAGACUGUCAUCAAGUUCAUGCAACUAAUACUUCAUAACCAACACCUGUCUGUGAAUAGUGGUAAAUUCUACAUUGGGCACACCAUCGACAAAGAGGAAAAAGCCUUAGUAGAGAUGUAGAUCAGAUGAAGUCAGGAAAAAAGCUGAGCCCAAUCGGAAUUCAAACUUCAAAUCUCUGAUUUACUGGUUAUUACUUGGACAUGUGAUUGAUUAAUAAAAUGAAAAAUAAAUAAAAAAGGCAGAAAAAUGGAAGGAUGAAAUACACAUAUGUAAUCAGAUCCUUCUCUGAAUUCCCACCUUUGCUACAUAACCAAAGUGGUCACUAUUUGUAAGUUAACAAGAUCAAGAAAACACAUGAAGUGCUGUAGUUAUAAAACUGUUAUUUAUUUCAUACAGAAUGUGAGUGUUUUAGUUGUUAACAUGUUACACAGGUAAGACACCACUCCUAUUUCCUUUUUGGGAAAAAGUGUCAUUAAGAAGCGGAGAAUCAAUAAAUCCAGUUUAGAUUCAUCAUGAGGUAUGCAAUUUCUGUUUCCUGAACUUGUUAUUAUGACAACCCCCCUCCUACUGGCUUGUGUGCUGGUAUGAGACAUCCUUUGGCAAAGGAAGGAGAUAUUGUGCAGUCCUGAGACAAGAGUUCUCCUUUGGCAGGCAAGAAAAGAACACCAGCAUGCUAGUCCCAUUUGGGUACAUAUGGUUAUAACGCAGCCAUAACACAUGUAUCUACAUUAAGCACACACACAUUGGUAACGCACAAAUGCCAUACUGAUCUGUUGACUACGUGUUGGUGAUUAUAGACCCUCGUGGAGUCGUGCUACAUUGCAUAUACACUGCAGUGACACCUUCAAAUGGAAACUUUUUGAUCACCUCUUACAAGCUGUCUCAAUGACCUGGACAUUUAAAUAUAAUCUUGUCAUUGUGACUCUGAUGUGCAACCACAAUUACCUGUAAACCAAUGUAUUUUGAAACCUCUGUAUGACUUUAAAAAAUAAUAGCAGUAAUAAUUAUGACAACAAUAGAGUUCAUUUUAAAACUAUAACAUCAGAAAUUUUCAGUUAAAAAAAGUAACUGUAAACAAUGCGACUAAACUAAUGGUCAGUAUGAGUGAGAUUUCAUAACUAGGGGGGCAUGUCAAAAAAAAACACCAUUACAUUUUAUUGUCAAGAACACAAAACUGCUACGCGAAACUUCAUUAUAUAAAAAUUAACAGACAUUGUAGAAUUGUGACUUAAAAACUUUAACUACUUUGCAUCAUAAUGGUACCAACUUACCACAACUGUGGCAACAGAGGGAAGGAACUAGAAGGGGGUGGCAUGUUAUCAGUGAUCUACUUUAUUACCCUAUUUACGUUACCAAUAAAUAUGUAAGCGAGCCUGCUGAAUUCAGUGUGACAGCACACAUUCCACUGUCAAGACAAAAAAAUGUCUCGAGAAAUACCGAUGACUAAAUUUUUCUUGAGAAAACGUGCUAAUAUAUUUCCCUCCAUUGUUAAAUGUCAGUAUUAUUUAUUAAUGAAAAAAAAAAAAGCUGAUAAACUAUUGGGACUAACAGCUCUUAAGGACCACACUCACCCAAGGUACAGUUAAUACCAAAAAAAAGAGGGUAACCAUCUAGAAAUCAAUAACGAAAAAUACACUGAGUUGUGAUCAGAAUAAAUUGUUAUUUUUUUGUAGGUAAUGUGUAGUUUUUAUUAUGAUUUAAAUCUACUUAAUGGUGUGGAAAGCAAAGUUUUUUCGAUUGUGGGCAAGAUAAAAAAUUGCCAAUAAUCAAAACAUUUUAACCACAAAAUGUUUUGAGAUUUUCGAAGUUAAAAUGCUUAAUCACAAUAAAAAUAUUCAAUGAUACUUUGCCCCACUGCGUAAAAACAAAACCAACGCAACCAUAAAACCUUUUCUUUUCCUUUCAUUUGCAUGUAGUGAAUUGUCCUUUACACCACCACCACCACCUCCUAGAAAUCCAUUAACUAUUUGAGAUGCAAGGAAAAUUAGUAGAUUAGAACUUCAGUGUCUCCAGUGAUCAGGGCCGAGUGGUGACGUGCGCAACAUUUCUCACUACGCAACGGGAAGUUGUGAUUGUGCUGAAUGAUGUAAUUCGUACAUUCCCUUGCCGUACCUCCCAUUGAAUUACAAAAUUGAAAAAUUUUGCUAAGCUUGUGUCGCUGAACCUCAGAUCUUUACAAAUAAUAAGUAUUCGUACAAUUCAAAACAUUUUUUUCCAGUCAUGACAGAACGAUAAGAUUCCGAGAAACAUAUAGGUACUGAAAUGAGAAAUAAUUGAAACCUAUAAUAAAUAUAAUGCACUAUGUUUUUCGUUUUAAGCUACAAAUUUGGCAGCAACUAGAGAGAGAUCAGUAAUACUGAAAUUCUAAAUUAGCGUAUAUUCGAAGCUUAGUCUCUCUGCGAAAUCUGUUGUGAUACUGCGAAGAAUUGAUUUUCAGUGAAGAAUAUGGACAUCCUUCGAGGCCCUAUAGACAAGUUUUACGUAAAAUUUGGCAGAGUCUACUACUUCGAGGGCUCCGGUGACCGUGUACGGAUUCUAACAUAUUGCCAGCGAAUCUAAAUGUCUCCGACGCUAGUAUUAUAAAAACAUCCCCACGUUUCACAGUACCAUAAAUCUUGAAGUGCGAGGAACACUUAAUAACUGUAGCGUUUGUCCAUAGAAACAGUACAUUUUCUGAAACAGAGAAUACACAAUAAGGAAGUACAGCAAUUCCUUGCGGCAUGUUUUUUCGUCGGUAAAGCUGUAGGACGAAAACCGCAGAGUGUUGCUUUACAUUUUGUAUUAUCAUUCUUUUUUUCACUCUGGAUAGUGAAAGACAUUUUGAAAACAAAUUUGCAUACACUCAAUGUAUGUCUUCGAAAAAACAAAAUUUGUAUACACUCAAUGUAUAUCUUCGAAAAGCCUGACAACAAGGCAGUCUAUAUCAAACUGCAUCUGCAACGUGGUGACGUCUUCACAUUGCGAAACCAUGCAGUUACGCGACGAAGUGCCGUGCGGAAAACCGUGUGCACCAAUAGCUUCAAUAUAAAUCCUCAGAUGGCGCCACGAACUUAUCUACUUCGCGCAGACGUUACCCAAGAUGCUGUGGACGAAGCGGGAAGAUACAAAGGAAUCGAAAUCGUCAGAUAAGCUGACAAACCAGAAGCGGACAACAUCUACAUGUUGCAAACCAUCAUCAAAAAGCGAAUGCUGCCAAUCGUGCAAACCUCCAUGCAAGUGUAGGAGGAUUGUAAUACGACCACUCAUGUUUUCAUAUUACACAGAUUUGAUGCAUUAAACCAAAAAUUAUGUUUCAUUAUGUGCUGUAUAAUUUUCUACAGAUAAUAUGAAACUUAAAGAAUAUAAAGAAUUAAUAAUUCAUCA